rnacentral:rRNA from 1 species
UACGGGGGGGGGCAAGCGUUGUUCGGAAUUACUGGGCGUAAAGGGCUCGUAGGCGGCCAACUAAGUCGGAUGUGAAAUCCCCAGGCUCAACCUGGGAACUGCAUCCGAUACUGGAUGGCUUGAAUUCGGGAGAGGGAUGCAGAAUUCCAGGUGUAACGGUGAAAUGCGUAGAUAUCUGGAGGAAUACCGGUGGCGAAGGCGGCAUCCUGGACCGACAUUGACGCUGAGGUGCGAAAGCGUGGGGAGCAAACAGG